rnacentral:rRNA from 1 species
GGGGCAUCUCUGUGGGUUUAAAGGAAGCGAUUCCGGCUACGGAUGGUCAUGCGUCGCAUUAGCUUGUUGGCGGGGUAACGGCCCACCAAGGCGACGAUGCGUAGGGGUUCUGAGAGGAAGGUCCCCCACAUUGGAACUGAGACACGGUCCAAACUCCUACGGAAGGCAGCAG